ensembl:lncRNA
GCACACAAAUCUCACAGAGUAAACACUUUUGCCCAGUACAUUUUAAGGAGCAACACGUGACAUUCUGAACAUACACAUAGAAGAUCAGAUUAGCUAAAAGUACAUGAAACUGGAGGAACAGUUAGCUUUGUCAAACAAAAAUGCCUCAGCAAAGUAACUGCUUGGAAUAGUUUCAGAUCUACAGCAAUAAUACAAAUAUGAGUAUUUCCCAGAAUGUGAAGCUAAUAUUAUAUCAAAUAAUGAUUGAAAAAAAGACACAAAAAUAUUCAUCUUUCUAAUGAAAGCAUUUAAGACACAGGGAUAUCUGGUGUCGUUACAGCAGUGAAACUCUGAUAACACCCCACUUAUCACAAGGUGCUGCAGCUAUUAUCUGAGCUUCACACCGUUGAGUUAAGUUAAGAUAGUUGUCUUGAUUUAAGCUGCUUCUGCUGAGUCAACUUGGCUUUGAACUUUGAGCGAGCGUUUCACCAUGAACCCCCCCCACCCCAUUUGUCCCCCGGGUGCUUAUAGGGUGGAGAAGGUUAUAGAGCGGAUGGAUCUGUGGACAAAUGAAGGUGACGACACAGACGGAGCAAGUGAGCGCUGGAGACAGAGGCAGAGUCGGGAACAAUGUAGUAAAAAAGAUGACAAUGUCGAUAAAGUGAAAUUGGAGAUCAAGCCAACAGAUGGUGGAGCAAAGAAUGUGACCUGCCAAGUUCGUUGUGGCACUCCAGGCACGGAUAGACGGAUACAUAUAGUCGGGAGAUAAAGAAGGGGGGGAAGAGAGGAAAUGACAGAUGCUCAGCGGGACAAACCAAUGGAGGGAGGGUGGGCGGGGGGGGCAGGAAAGCACAGAGAGAUGAGGGGAGGAAGUGAGACUGGCACAAAAGAUGAGUGGGAAAGCAAAAGGACGGAUAUCUGUAAAAUCUAAAUAUUAAAAGUAAAUGGAGAUAAGGGGCGACGGUGAAAACGAGCGAGGGAUUGAAAAAAGGCAGUUCAGUAGAACCAGGCGCUGCAUUGAAAGAGGGACGCAAGAGAGCAGGGGAGAGGCCACCGCUUGCCUUCCUCCAAUUCUGAUGUGGAACAAUGGCUGCCUAUCAGUCUGUCAGCACCUAAAGGCGCAGUGGUAGUGAGAAGGUAGGAGUGACACGGCCCCAGCAUCAAUGCGCCAUUGUCUGUUCAUGAGUCUCCGUCGAAACGAAUAUCACUUCCUUUCCUAUUAAAAGUUCUACCACUAUGACUAACGGCUGGAACUUGGGGGGUGGAGGGGGAGGGAGGGGGGGUCCGUUCUCUCUUAAAGCCUGUAAACAGAGCGAUUGUGCAGAUGCGUUCUGCAUUCUGUGCGUUUGUCGCAACGCGACAGAGGCCCCCACGCGGCGCAGUGCAUUUUUCAGAGUUACUAAAGAUGCCCACACAAACAGCCACAUACACAUAAGUAUUGAACAAUGAUGUCCUUUAAUGAUUUCCAUUACCUUCCUCCAAGCAAAGGCUCUGUUUCUCUUUAAACUGUUAUUGUGUCUUGACAACAUACAUUAAACAAGUGAGAGUGGAGAAGGAUUGGAAUGCAAUGCACUGUUAACAGACACAAUUGGACACAAAAAGAUUCUGUCUUCCCGGCAGCAGUCAUAGAUUCAGACCAAGAUGUAAUAACUGCAUACUGUACAUGCAACGUCUGUGUGAAACACUGUGUAGUCAUUGCAGAAACCAGUGGAUUAUGCUGGUAAAGCAUAAAGUGCCACAUCCUGUUGGCUGUUGUUGAUCCAACUUUUGACCUAAUUGAGGAGGGAAACAUCGCUCCUGAUAUCUAAUGUUCACAGCAACUGAGCCGUUUACAAAAAGGCCACAGGUCCGAGUGGCUAAUACAGCCUAACUAUUUACUUCUUUUAAUUUGCUAAACAUAAAGUUGUGAGCCAAAUGUACUCACUGUCACUUUUGAUCCACAGUCAGAUUACUUUUUUAGUGAAGCAUGCCAAGAUUAAUUAAUUGUCGUGUGUGCAUGUGCAUAGUUGGUUGUUUGUUUAGUUUGGGGAAAACCUCUGAAUUAAUGCUCUCUAUUUGUAACAGCUAAUUAUGACGCUGAGGGAUCGUAUUUCUAAUUACAGUGUUUGACACAGACAAACAGUAAAUCCAGUUCAACAAAAGUUACACCGUAAAUGUGAUCUCAUAAAAAAAAAUCUCAAAAGAGAAGAUUUGUUGCAUUCUAACAUAUGAAUAUGCUACUAUACUUAGUUUGAGAAGAAAGCUCUUAAUGCCUUGCACAUAGAAUCCCAGUCCUUUCUUUUUUUAAUAGUCACAUAGACACAAUAGUGAAUGGGACAGCUGGAUUCUUGAGCGGUUGGACCUCUGCAGUAUGAACUCAAUGUAAACCAUAUUCAUUUCCUCUUAGUAAGCUUUACCAGAUACAAAGUCUCAUGUGAGUUAACGGUCAAAAUCACUGGAAUUGAUCAACAACCCAGUCAAAGCACCAAAUACAUAUUUUUGUAAUUUGAAUAUUUGUGGGCUGCGUAAAUCCUAUUUCUGUCCGGUUUAAGCUUUUCUUGCUGUGAUAUCCUGUUUCAUAUGUUUUCCUUUUCUCAGUGCUGAAGACUUGUGGCUGGGGGGAAAUGCAUACAUUUGCAUUAUACAAACAUUUGUGUUCAUUUUCAACAUGCUGAGUAUUAACGCGAAAAAAAAUCUCAACGUAGUUUCAUCAGCUACUCAAUGAUUACACUCUAAAAGUCAUUUGGACAAAGUAUCAUUUAGGCGUUAAUGAACGCAAACCAUUAUGUUAUUUGACUUUAUGUAAGAACAUGGCUUUUUUUGACGUGUUAAUUUAAAACAGUUAUUAGUUUGGCUCUGGCCCAACUUUGCAAGCGCCCACUCUGUUCAUUUCUACACAUAGAUAGAUCUCCUCGCAGAGUGCUGCGAUCAAUGGCGCGAUGAAUGUGGUUCUGGUUAGGAGGGAAAAGUGGGAGGCAAAGAAGCAAGAGGAAGAGAGCUGCCUUUGGAAAUGUGCUCUCGUUGGAGCACAUUUUUCCUGACAAUUUUGACACACGGGACUAUAAACUAUGUAAAAUAAAUAUAUGCAAACAAUAAAGAAGCUUUUUGGAGUUUAUCAGGCCCGUGUAUGAGUGGGGAGGGUUGAGAGACUAGAGUGCUUUUUGAGUAUGUUCAUGAUGUUUAUGUGUAUGUAUAUGUGCAAGUUGGAAUGUAAAUUAAAGUUGGAAGACUAAAGAAUAUACGCAUAUGUUUGUUUUCUAUGCAAGCAUGCAUCUACUAGGGGCGUGGUGGUGGGGGACGAGCGGUAAUUGAUGGCGGUUUCUUGGGCGUCCUUUUGGGACUUGUAUGUAUAAAUAUCCAUGAAAAGCCACAUUUAGAGAACCAGCCGACCAGCUAACCGACCAGCCAACAAGUCACUCACAGCGCCAGACAUUCCACAACCAUCAUUUAAGCAACUCGCUUUGAUUUUCUAUUAACUUGUUAACUGCCCUACUUUACAAGCAAAUGGGAAGUAUUAAACCUCUACCCGCUGGUUCUCCAUUAACUUGCGCUCAAUCACGGCCUUUUCACACAAUAAUAAAAUGUUGUUUUAACUUUAAAUGCAUUCACAUGCAGCGGAAUCAACGGAACUGCAAAUAAUAUCCUUAGGCAGUGAGAGUGUUGUUCAAGUGAAUCAUUUUAUGCAGGAAGCAUAUGUUACCUGAGGGAAAAGUUGUCAAAUUAGUAAUGUGACGCAUUCUCUGCCAUUACUCCCCACACUGGCUAAUGCCCAUCAGAGCAACUGUCAGGAGGAUCAGAACAUUUCUGUCUUUGACGCCCCACAGUGGGCAUCGAACAGAGAUACAGUUUCUAACAGCAAUACAGGACAAUCCCUCCUUGCUGGAUCCAACUCGAGGACAAGGGAAAUAAUGUCCUGAAAGCAAAACAUGUAGUGACCAAUUUAUAGAGGGAUUUGUUAUUUAUUACAAAAAACUAUAUUAGAUUAUUAAAAAGGAAGAGUUUAAAACAUGGUUUUAGGCAUCACAAAGAUGACAUCACAUUUAAUGAGAAUGAUAAAUUAUACAGAAAUAAUAGACAAUAACACAACACAACAUCUACUGGCAGCCCUGGUUUAUAUAUUCUGCAUUAAAGCAGUCACCCUGUUCUGCUCUGCCCUGCGGACUUUCCAUCACCACAUUCUCACCACUAUCUGACUGACAUGCUGUGGCGCAGGAAGUGUGUGGUGUGCGUUGGAGAGCAACGAUGGUUUUCACAGUCAUAGACCACUGCACAGGACCCUAUAAAUGUCAUUCUGCCUGGUGGGAGGAGAAGACGAAGAUGGGGCGCUCAAGCGGGAUCACCCCAUCGAUAAUGUGAUCCACAGCUGCUGCACUGUGAGCACCUGCAGGCUUAAAUCAAAUUUCACAAUCCCACACCCCAACAGUGGUGUUAACGACAGAGAUUGCACUGCAAAUGUCGGGCCCUCAAACUCAACACGCCCUCACACACAGGAGUAUUCCAGUAAUUUGGGGAUGUUAAGGGAUGUUUGCGGAUCCUUGUGUCGGGUUACUUACUUUCCAGGCAAGGCUACUUAGGAACGAACAGUUCAAAACCACAACGGCGUCGCACAACCAUCUUGUGAACCACCCGAUCCUGGUUAGUGUUUGACAAAAUUACAGCUAUCAGCCAUCGCACAAGGAUUCUCAGUGAGAUAACCCAGCCGCGUGCUAGCAAUGGGGUAAUUGGGGUUAUAUUUUGGAAACGGGGGGAUUGUGUUUCUGUUUGAUGAGCAACACAGUGGGUGGAAGGAAAUCAGAACCCUGAUUUAUGCCGACUUUGAAUCUGUUUGCCAUGGACAAGCUAUUGGGGGCCGCGUGUAUCAGUCUAGUGGGAGUAGUUGACUCAUCAGAAUAAAGGAGAUCAAUGCAUUUUCCACUGGAACUGGGUGACAUUGUGCAGUGACAUAGAGGUUGGAAUCAGCUAGUAAAGCUAACAAAAAAAAUCGGAUUGUGUAGUUGAAGAGAAAGCCUCCCUCAUUCGUACAUGCAGAUCCAUAUGCAGCGGUAAGAAUCUGAGGUGCUAAUGGCGAAAAAAGAGUAAAGAGUUAUUUUAGCACCCUGAUCCUACAAACACACACAAGUCUGGCAGUUCUAAUCAAAAGAGCAGGGCUUCUCAGAGGGCGUCCUCCGGGGAGGCCCGUGUCUGGGGCCUGCUUCCCCCGAGGGCACCAGGCUAUCAUUCAGCCCGCAGGACCUGACCGGACCUCUAAGCCCCGAGGGCAGAUGCUCAUCUCCUCCAAACCCAACUAUCGGCCUCUCUCUGCUGCAUUAUUGAUGAGCUCUUCUGCAGUGCACAGCCCUCUAACAGCCCUUGCACUACAGAUGGAUUCUACUGUAGCAGAGUCGGUAGCUGGAAAAAGUUGGAAAGGAUCAGCAGUGGAUGGAUGUAUAUGCAGAGUGUAUGGAUGGAUGGACAAACAGGCAAGUCUAGAUGAAAAUGCAUGAUGGAUUUUUGGCUUCUGCGCUCUGCCUUGGAGACAUG